CCAUGCAAUGGAUGGCUUUUGCAAACCCGACAUGCGGCCAUGUGGUUCAUGCCAACAUCCGGCGCCAGCCGCUGCCGCCCUAACAUCCGGCGCCAGAUCUCUCCCGCCGCAACCUCCGGCGUCCCCUUGCCCGCCCCAAACUCCCUGCGCCACCAUCCCUGGCCCAACCUCUGGCGCCGCCGCCGCCCCUAACUCCGGCGUCGUCUAUCACACCCAAUUUCCAGCGCCCCAACUUCCGGCGCAAGGGUGCCCAGUCCAGCCCUGCAGCGUCAGGAAGGUCGAUUCCAUCAGCUGAAGACGUUCAAACAGGGCGAGUGCAAAACAGUGUGCGAGCAGUCUGUGCGGGCAUCUAUCUCUCCUUCUUUUUUUCAUCCUGGUGUCAUCGGUCUAUCUGCAUCGAGGCCAUCCUGACGCAGCAGUUGUGUUCGAGGCUGGCUACCUCCUCAGCGUUGAGAUCUCCAUAGCAGGUCGUACUAUGAAGAAGUAGCAAGCCAGACUGAAGAAAAGUAGCAGGUUGAGAGAUUCGCCCUCAUCAAAAGGGGAGGCAGGCCACCGCCAAAUGGAGCAAGAUCCUCCUCAGCCUGUGCCUCCACGGGCCUCAUCUCCUACUAUAGGCGACGACAGUCCCAUCCUCCAGCGCGUCGCCGACGAGGCCAACUGCCUACACCGUCUUCGGCUGCAAUGAUGUCGUCUCGACGAGGCCAACCGCCUACACCGGCUUCGGCUGCAACGACGUCGUCUCUGUUCGUCAACCUUCUCGUCUCCUCUCAGCCAGCAAGGGAAACGGUGGUGUAGCUUGUUGCUUGCAAAGGGAUGAGUGGAAGGUGAAGAACCGAAGAAACUGUAGGGACAAAAGUUGGAGGUCUGCUCAACAUUUUUGUUAAAGAUGCCUCUUUAGUCUUUACAGUUUCAGUCAUCCAUCGGCCUCGUCCAUCACGCUCGUGACCUCCUCAGCGCUGGAGUGAAGGUCGGCUCCUCUGCACUCUACAGUUCGGUUUCUACUGAUGUUGUAGCUCCUAAAUCCGUCGUGGACACCCCUGUGACACCCCGUGCGUGGCUGGUGGAGCUCAGGCGCCCCACUGCUUCCCCUUCCCAUGCAUCACGAAUCAGGGCGCGACCAUAACAUGCUAGCAAUUUUAUGCUUUGGCUGUCAGUAAUGUGUUUGCGCUAAUGUCUAGUAGGAACUCUAGUUGUACUGAUAAAAGAGAACCAAACCAUCAUAUAAGGGAAAAAGCAGCAUCUCUCUAUCUUUGAUCUCUAUAUGAUACAGAUAUGGACGUAUAUGCAAUUAGCAAAAUUCCUCUUUUAUAUUGCUUAUUCACUAAUCAUUCAUGCUUUGUGUCCUAAAAGAAAUACAAUAUGCUCUGUUUGAAAAAAGCAUGCGGUCAGUACAUGUUUGUUAUUAUAUGGAUCUGAAGGUUUAACAAACAAAACAUUCAGAUUUCUCUUUAUUCGUCUAAAGGUUGGAGUGAGGUAGCGCUUAUUUCCUAUAUAGCUGCUCAUUUUGGAUGCAGUUUUAACAAUUAGGCUAGGGCGGCGGUGAGCGUGGGUAGACCGGCCAAACCUUCCCUGCACUGGGUCAACCAGCAGUGUCGCCCACCACUAUACUGUCCUACGGCAAUGGCCCCAGCCUGGGCAGGCAUGCUUUCUGCGACAUGCUCCUGCACAUGGAUGUCUUGGUGAGGUAAAAACUUCUGUUAACUUAACUUAGCUACCUCGACUGAUUGAACUGCAGGGGUGUGUGGAGUCUGAUAUGGUGCUAGUGUUUGAUUAAUGCAAUUUGGAAGAACUUGCGUCUCUAAAAAUCAAACUCUGCAUUUUGGUGUAUUCUUCUUUAGAAGUUCAGGUCAUCAUAAGUUGCUUCGGUUGAGCUAGUUACUGUUGUGAAAAAGUUCAGCUCGUCAUAUUUGAACAUCGGAAGAAGAGCUGCUGUAGUCUCCUGCUAUAUGCUUGUUAUAUGCCUAAAUAGUACGGGCUCAACCGAAGCAAGUAGUUAUAGUCUCCUGCUAUAUGCUUAAAUAGCAUAUAUUUUUUCUGUAUUCUUGUUCGGAAGUUCAGGUCAUUCAAAGAGACCAAAUAGUACAGGCUCAACCAAAUAGGGACAAGUCUACUUGAGUUGCAAAAAUAUAAUGACACAAAAAUGCAACACCGCACUCUCCUCAAAAUGGUCAUCAUAUUCUUAAGAAGAUCGGGAUUGCACUAUUUGGUCGAGCUAGUACUACCAGACUGGAAAAAUUGCGGAGUUGGAUUUUAGAGCCUGGACAUUUUCAGAAGUGGUCAAUUGAACCUGAACCAAAAAGAUUGACCUGAAAUUCGUUUGAGCUAGUUACUACCAGACUGAAAAAAUUGUAAUAGGUAAGUGGUAUUGUACUAUUUUCUAUUGUGUGGUAAUGCUCGUAUCCCAUGGCCAUGGAAGGUUCAGAUGUUGUGCUCUUCUUUUCUAGCUGAUUCAUGUUCUAUUUUGUAGCCUUAAUGAUAUGCUAUACACUGAUGGCGAGAGUUCAACCAUGGCUAUACGCCAAGUUCUACUAUGGCUAUACAUCGGCCAUCGUGAAGUCCUACUAUAGCUCUAUGCCAAGUUUAAUUAUGGUUGUAUGUGUGUGCUUCCAGGCUACUAUUGAACAUGUAUUAGCUUUUGUUUUUACGGGUUAUAGUCUCCUGCUAUAUGCUUGCUUUUGCCAUCAGCAUGUUCAUGCAAGUGCCUUUGAAAAAUCUGAAAUUUAAACUUGUACCUAAAACUGAACUUCUACCUCUUUGCUACAGGUGUGGUCAUCGGAGUCCUUAAGCGCUUGCCCUAGUGCUUCUAACUUGUCCAUGAAGGCACUGCAUAGUGUGCGACCUCCCGUCUGCCGCCGCAGCUGCCCUGUGUCCUCGCGACCUCUGCGGCCAGUCAUCAACGCCCUAUGAGUGCGCCCUAAGUGUGGCAUGGGGAACAUGCUAAGCACUAUUGUGUGCGUGCAUGCCCGCGUUUAUGCGUGCACUGUGUGUGCUGCUUAUGUGCUGUGAUGUAUGUUGUAUAGAUUUUUAUGAAGUUCAUGUUGUGAACCCAACUAAGUUAGAACACAAAAGUUUAGAUCACAGCUGCUUUGAAUUUGCUCCGGUAGCAGAAAUCUUGUUUCCGUGCUGUUGUACUAUGUCCACUUAUGUAGUGUUUCUAAACAACUUCUUGUCUGAAGUUCAGUCGUACAUGUGGCUGCAAGAAAGUUA